rnacentral:misc_RNA from 1 species
GAUGAAGAACGUAGCGAAAUGCGAUAAGUAGUGUGAAUUGCAGAAUUCAGUGAAUCAUCGAAUCUUUGAACGCACAUUGCGCCUCCUGGUAUUCCGGGAGGCAUGCCUGUUCGAGCGUCAUUAAAAUCACUCAAGCUUAGGUUUACCUAUUGCUUGGUCUUGGAGAUGGAAGCCAAUUCAUUGGAAUCCUCUUCGAAAUCCAAUGGCGAAGACCCUUGCUCUCCCAAGUGUAGUAAUAACUUAUGUCACUGAAGGAAGCGAGAAAUCUUCCGCCGUAACCCCCAUAUUUUCUAUGAUUGACCUCGGAUCAGGUAGGGAUACCCGCUGAACUUAAGCAUAUCAAUAAGAGGAGGA